CCUCUCCCUGUUAUUACCAAACACGCUGUAAUUACCCACCACAAGCCAGAUCUUGCGCCGCCCCCAACAUCGCGACGCUCACUGCUCUCUCCGGCCGGCCGCUGCACCGCUCCGUCGUCCUCAAACCCUCCCGCCGCCCCACACCACCCAUCCCCCAUGAGCUCAAACCCUCUCCUCCGUCAAGUUGCUCCAUCCCCACCCCGUCACCAAGAACCCCGGCGUCGUCCUGCGCACCGGGCAGAUCCCGGCGAAGACCAGGCUCAACCUGUGCCGGAAGCUCUUGUCGGCCGUGGCGGAGCACAUCUCCAUGCCAUCUCGCUUCUCCACCGCUGCCCCCGCAUCGUCCUGCCUCUCCACCAGGGCCCCCACACCACCAUGCUCCCCGCCGUCGCCACGUACUCCCUGCUGCCGCCGCCGGAGAUUUCCCACGAUCGGAACAAAUCAGCACCGGUGUGGUUUCUUUCUUCUUCAGAAGGCCAGACUUUUACAAUUCAUAAAGAGACCAUAUCCAUUUGACGUGCAAUGACACUCUGCUGUAGAGGAUGGUGCACUAAGACGAGAAGGCAGUGUGGUGCAUUAAUCCUAGUAAGUGAGGUGGUCAGGUGUGUUGCAGUUUGUCAACUACUUAUGAUUUAUCGCUCAAGUGGUCUGCUGCACAUCAAUGCAAAAUUAACUUCAAACUCUUAUGGCUUGUGGGGCAUGCACACUUAUUGACCAACAAAUACGUUGCAAAUCAUUCCUGUGAAUUCUAUAUACGUGAGGUGUACUAUAAAUACGGCACAAAUCCCGAAGAAAUGGAGGGUGCGGAUUACAUCCUCGCGUGGCACCAUGUCCACUCGUGAUUUAUCAUCAACGGACGUGAAUUUUUGGGACAUGCGGCCACGCGAUGCCGUAAUCCAGUGCGUCUGCGCGCGCAUCGUGAUUGCUACUUAAUAUAGGCACAUUCGCUAUUCCUGACAUGUUAAUCACCAGUGCUUGUGAAUACUUCGCGUGAUACUGUUGGAAAUAUGCCCUAGAGGCAAUAAUAAAAUGGAUAUUAUUGUAUUUCCUUGUUCA